rnacentral:tRNA from 1 species
GGCCUCAUCGUCUAACGGCUAGGACGAAGCGUUCUCAACGCUUAAAUCGGAGUUCGAUUCUCCGUGAGGCUACCA